rnacentral:rRNA from 1 species
AACGAACGCUGGCGGCAUGCCUAACACAUGCAAGUCGAACGAGACCUUCGGGUCUAGUGGCGCACGGGUGCGUAACGCGUGGGAACCUGCCCUUAGGUUCGGAAUAACUCCCCGAAAGGGGUGCUAAUACCGGAUAAUGUCCUCGGACCCAAGAUUUAUCGCCUUUGGAUGGGCCCGCGUUGGAUUAGCUGGGUGGGAGGGUAAAAGCCUACCAAGGCGACGCUCGAUAGCUGGUCUGAGAGGAUGGGCCGCCACACUGGGACUGAGACACGGCCCAGACUCCUGCGGGAGGCAGCAGUGCGGAAUAUUGGCCAACGGGCGAAAGCCUGAUCCAGCAAUGCCGCGAGAGUGAUGAAGGCCUUAGGGUUGUAAAGCUCUUUUACCCGGGAUGAUAAUGACAGUACCGGGAGAAUAAGCUCCGGCUAACUCCGUG